ACACUCCUGCGGGAGGCAGCAGUGGGGAAUUUUGGACAAUGGGCGAAAGCCUGAUCCAGCAAUGCCGCGUGAGUGAAGAAGGCCUUCGGGUUGUAAAGCUCUUUUGUCAGGGAAGAAACGGUGAAAGCUAAUAUCUUUUGCUAAUGACGGUACCUGAAGAAUAAGCACCGGCUAACUACGUGCCAGCAGCCGCGGUAAUACGUAGGGUGCAAGCGUUAAUCGGAAUUACUGGGCGUAAAGCGUGCGCAGGCGGUUUUGUAAGUCUGGUGUGAAAUCCCCGGGCUCAACCUGGGAAUUGCAUUGGAGACUGCAAGGCUAGAAUCUGGCAGAGGGGGGUAGAAUUCCACGUGUAGCAGUGAAAUGCGUAGAUAUGUGGAGGAACACCGAUGGCGAAGGCAGCCCCCUGGGUCAAGAUUGACGCUCAUGCACGAAAGCGUGGGGAGCAAACAGGAUUAGAAACCCCAGUAGUCCCA
rnacentral:rRNA from 1 species